rnacentral:lncRNA from 1 species
CAGGAAUUAAUGAGUUGAUAAGCAUAUGGCUUAUAGCUAGUCCAAUGAAUCUCAUACAGCCAUACCCCAUUCAACCCAAAAGCAUUACAGUACACACUAUAUAAAAUCAUAAAUGAGUGCAAAUACUAAGUUGUUGAUUCAGUCGGACAAGCUACUUCCCUCAAACUUCAUGACAUUUCCCAAUCAAUUAAAAUAACAAAGUUCCUAACUCAAAACAGAACUGAAUCGAUUAAUCCAUAACAACAAGCUGAUAAAAUAAACACAAUACUCCAAAGCAAUACAGAAAAGUCGAAGGCAAAUUGAUACUACAUUUCAGACUAUUGCUUUCAUUUUCAACUUCCAAAUCCAACUUCAAAAACAACAAAGCCUCUCAGUGUGUACCUGGAAAUAAGACAGAAUCCAAAGAAAAGCAGGAUUAGUAGCUAGAAGCUAAUAACACAGCUCCCAGAUACAAGAAAGAUCAGCAGAAAACCAACCCCAACCAAAUGGUACAAAACGGACCCCAGGACCCAACUUCGUAGCAGUUUUAAAUCCCAAAUCAAUUCAUACUCAAUCUCAACAUGAAACAGAAAGUAUUUCAGAACUGGAAAAUUUCAGAAAUCAAUAAGGAAAUUAAUGAAACAGUAGCAAUUUUGUCCGUCUUUUUUCUGGAAUUCUAGCUCUUUGAAAUCUGAAUUGAGCCUCAAGUAACAAUGCCUUUAUAGGCAAGCUACUAGGGCAGCCUCAAAUAGUUCAAAAUUUGCACUUAAAACCUUAUGAAAUUUUCAUUUUAGCUUAGAAAUCCACGAGUGUAAACCUCAGAAUUUCAAAAUAGCCCCCACCCCAGCUUCUAGGAAGCUUCCUAAUUCAAUUAUAUAAGAUUCCCCAACCUUUACUACCCAUAUUAUCCUUAACAACCCUGUUUAUUACCCCAUGGACCUCAAAUGGGUAAUGGGUCAAAUGAUCCAAUGAUCAAAUCAGACCUGGGCUCAAAAAAUCCAUUCGAACUCUUUAGAAUGAUUUAUGAAAUGAAUUCAGAACCCAAAUGAAAUGAACCCAUAUUGAGCAGACUAUGGCAAACAGCAGGAAAAUGACUAAAACAACUUUCAGAAAACAUAAAACCUAAGCUAAGGGACUAAAUUGUCAUAUAAUCCUAAUUAAACUAACAGGGCUAAACAAACAAAAUGAAAUCAGAAAUUAAUCGUGCUGUCAACAAAAGAACUAGACCGACGAAACAAAAAUCUUAGAACCAACUUGGAAUAGAAAACUGAGACGGAACAAAACGGACAGUACUCGAUCUCAGCUAGAAAACUCGUUUAAUUUUAUUUUAAUUAACCGGAGGGAAAGAGAAGAAGAGAAGAGGAAAGAAAGAUGAAGGAAUCACAAGCGUAAACGAAAGGAAAGAAAGAAACUCGCCAACUCGGGCUCGACCCUUCGACUGACUUUCCGAUUUAAACCCCGAAUAUCGUCAACUACUUGUUCUUUAUCGAAUAAUACUAUUCUGUGGUAGAACUGGCCCGGAACACUCAUAAAAACUGGGAAAACACCAUUGCAUGCGCAGCUUUGGCUUUAGCUUCUGAGGCUCGAACCUUAGACUUAAGAUUCGAGAUGUUCUAGCAAAAUUCGAGGGGAACGGAGUGUGGAUUUGGUACAAGGGGGUCAUGGCGGUUCUAUGGUGUCAAUUUGGUGGUGAACAGAGGCGGCGGCGCCACCGAAGGAAAUGAGGGGGCGCUAGGGUUUGUGACUUCAACCUCAGAUUCGAGGGAUUCUGAGUGUGUUCGAACGAAGUUGGUUGUGGAUUGGGAUUGUGGAAGGGAUGAGGAGUUUAAGGUGUGAAUAUGGUGGUCAUCGGAGGUGGCGUCGCCGGCUUGGAGCGGUGGAAAAAGGGGGCGGCGGGCUAGGGUUUAUUGGUGAGAGUCUCAGGGGAGGGCUGAACG